CCAAUAGCGUAUAUUAAAGUUGUUGCAGUUAAAAAGCUCGUAGUUGAAUUUCGGGAUCAAUAUGCCGGUCAUGCCUUGGUAUGCACUGGUAUCUUUGAUUUCUCCCUUCUGACGAACUUUGAUGUCAUUAAUUUGGUGUCAUAGGGAAUCAGGACUGUUACUUUGAAAAAAUUAGAGUGUUUAAAGCAGGCUCAGGCUUGAAUACAUUAGCAUGGAAUAA
rnacentral:rRNA from 1 species